UACGUAGGUUCCGAGCGUUGUCCGGAUUUAUUGGGCGUAAAGCGAGCGCAGGCGGUUAGAUAAGUCUGAAGUUAAAGGCUGUGGCUUAACCAUAGUACGCUUUGGAAACUGUUUAACUUGAGUGCAAGAGGGGAGAGUGGAAUUCCAUGUGUAGCGGUGAAAUGCGUAGAUAUAUGGAGGAACACCGGUGGCGAAAGCGGCUCUCUGGCUUGUAACUGACGCUGAGGCUCGAAAGCGUGGGGAGCAAACAGGAUUAGAU
rnacentral:rRNA from 1 species